UCUCGAAGCUUCCUUCUUCGCAGGCGCGGAACAGGAGCUGGUAGACCGGGGGAACCCCGCACUCCAUUCCUAUAUUUUUAAGGCCGAGGCGGCAACAGCGAAGGUAAUAACUGGAAAUGUAAUUGUGUAUGUUAUUACACAACCCACCACUAUCCAUGUUGGUUGCCUCCUGGAGCUUUCGGAUUUUCUGAUUUUGAUUUAAAUGCUGAAGAAUCUUUCUUUAAUCACAGAAGCAAAUGACAUUGAUAGUAGAUAAGGACAAGACAUUAAUAACUCAGGUUUUCACACAGUACAAAUGAACAAAGAAACUAUCGAAUACAUUUCUUACAAGGGACAUCUUGUUACACAUGAGUUUGAUUUUCUACUUUCGAAAUCCAAUUAUGUGGAAACCAUGAAUCUUCUAUGCUAGUUGGAAGCUUGAAGAAUGAAGUAGCCUCAAACUUUCAAUCAUUAUGUUAGCCAACUCAUAUCUGACUACACAUUAAAUUGGCAUUCUGAAAGAA